ensembl:lncRNA
CCCCUUUUCCUAUACCUGCUGCAGAGCUCCAAGUCAAGCAUUAAUUGCAGACCUAAAUCUUUGUAAAGAAUGCAGCACAGCCAAGCAUGGUACCCUUCCAGGAGUAACCCACGAAUCAGAGGGACCAGCCUGGCCUUGGCCUCGCUGGAAGUCUCGGUCACCCCAGCCUCUACGAAUACAGGUGAAAUGCAUUCGGGGUCUCAAGAAGAAGGUUCCCCAGGGCUCUUAUUUCCUCCAAGUGUCCCUGCUUGGUCGACCAGGAGGCCGAGUCUUGCCAUGGUGCCAGAUGGAACAGCCGGGAACCAGAACACAGCCAGCGAGGCACGAAGGAAACUUUUAUAACGUGGGGCUGUAUUUCCACGAGAGCCUUUAUGUGGUACUCCCGCCUAAGAAAGAUGUGAAACCAGGCAUGGCUUUCUUGUUUGAAC